rnacentral:misc_RNA from 1 species
CGGAUAUAAGGAAAUUUGAAAAUGGCCGAACGUCGUGGUCGCAUUCCCGUGGCCAAGUUCCGCACCCAGGAGGCCAAAACCCGUAGCAGGAGUCGCGUCCGAGAGCCAGACUAUAAUGAGCAGGAUCCAGAGCACGAUAUGUUCACGCUACUGGAGGAUAACAUCGCCCUGAGGGAGGAGAACAAAGCCCUCAAGCUGGAAAUAGAAACUCACAAAACCACUCAGGAGGAGCAGCAAGCUCAGCACGAAAAGUUGUGCAUUCAACUGGAGUCUCUGCAACAGCAGCAGACCAACUUCGAGUCCCAAAUCAAGGAACUGAGCUCGAAAUUCAACAAGGCUUUGAACGAGAGAAAUGCUUUAGAUAAGUUGCACAAAAUGAAGGUCGAUCAGAUCCACAAUCUCACCAGCGAACUGGAGCACAUGCGUGAAAAGCAGCAUGAUCAGAGUCCUGAACCUAUCAUCUCUCGACCUGUUAUCGGUUCGGUGGAACUCAAACGAAAACUGUUCAAGAUCCUGCAACAAGGCAGUGCUGACAGCGCCGACAGUUUCGGUAAUCAGGACUUGGAUAGCUUAGUGGAUGUUAACUCUGAGGGAGUACCAAUUACCUCUGGCCUGAUGGAGCGUUUAGCAGAUGAGUUUCUAACGCUCAAGCAUUCCACCAAUACUGUGGAGCUACAGCUUUAUGAGGCCAAUGAAAAGAUGUCUGAGCUACUGGAGCAGCAACACUCAUUGGAGGAGGAGAACGAAUCGCUGCGCACUGAGAACAGCAAUCUAACCAAGGUGGCCAAGUUGCUCACCGAAAACAUGAAGGAAAGUGUGGAAACUAGCCAGAAAAUGGAGGCGGCGCUGAUCAAACUGAAGCAGCGCAACGAUGAGCUGACUGCCAGGACUCGGGAUCUUACUGAUGGACAGCCAGGUGCCAGGACCAGUACCACUUCGAGCGUGCUAAAUGAACAGGAGGAAUUCGAGCAGAUCCAGGAUCAGGUGCAGCAGCAGGCUCGCGAGCACAAUGAACGCAUCGUGGAAAUGCAAUCACGGAGCGUGUUCGAUGUAUUCAAGCCGCUCUCGAAUUUCUUCCGGAGCAACUGAAUACGAAACGCUGGCGUUGAUGAUUUUCCACAAAACAAAAAAUAAUAUUUCUUGAGAAAUGCAUGGAAUGUGUCCAGCUGAAAAAAAAAUAUAUUGGUGCUGGGUCAGAUCACCCUCUACUCUACUAUACUCCUCCACAUCCAUCCGAGUCACGUCUUGACGCUCUAGUGCGGGAGUUCAAGUCGGGCGGCGUGACACUGCGGAGGCGAAAUCGACGCAAGACCGGCACCAGCGAG